rnacentral:lncRNA from 1 species
AUGUCAACAUAUCAUGAAAACAACAUAUUUGGAAUUAAUAAGAUGAAGGUGAAAAUUUACGAUUUCAAGAUAUUCUUAGAAGAUAUCUGGUCUACUUUUUUGAGGUAUAACAUUUUUCUGAGAGUCAACUUUUGUUGGGAAGAAAGCAAGUGGAAAUAUGGUUGCUGCCUAAGAAGUAAUAAUAGGAGAUACAAGAAACAGCUUGAAAUGGAAUAGGAAAAGUCUCUGUGGUAGAGCAAUUUGAAUGAAAAGAAGAAUAAACAGGUGUCCAACAAUAAGAUUUCCAAGAUAGGAAGAAAGAGAGGGUUCAGAAAGAAGGUGAGUAAAUGAAAUGUUGGUAUACUUUAUGCUGAGGUCUUCUUAUCUAUCAUUUUAAUUUACAAAACUCUUGUAAUUUACCAAGUCUGCUUUCCAAGGCAUACACACACUAGUGAAAUGGAAUGACCAGUUUAUGUAACUUCCUUUCCAUUCUAUGACAUAAGUACCAACCAAAUGUUUUCCCAGGGUGUUGAAAAAGUGCAAACAAUUUUCUAAAGAUUUGCACUUUGCUUCAUCCGAGGUGGUGAAAAAUACAAAACCUAUUUGCAGAAGGAUUGAGAAUAUCUGAGCUUUUUGGAUAUUUUCUUUUCUGAGACUUGUUUUAAAUUCAGUCAGAAAAGCUAGUGUAAUAUUGGAAUUGAAAAGAGCAACAGUGUUUUGACACUGUAUAUCUUGGCAUAAACCUUGCAUCAUUCACAGUAUGAGAUGUCAUGAAACUCAAUUCAGCAUAACAUAAAAUCAAAUGGGUUAAAGGAGUUCAAAUAGCAGACAUCCAGGUGUCUUCGCAGUCCAGCAUCUAGUAAUAGGAGGAGGUUGAGACAGAAUAAUAUCAUACCAUUUAUUAUUCAGCACUUAAUGUGUACCCGCUAUGUGCCAAGGGCUGUGUCAGGACAUGAAAAUUAAUUUUAAAAACUCUUACUUUUGAAAGGGGAAUGAUCUGAAAACUAGCAUUUAUUGAAAACUCAAACAUUGAAAUCUACAUUUUGCAUGUAUCUCUGUUUAAUCUUUACAUUAACUUUGUGAAUAUAAUAUUAUUAUUUUAAAGAUGUGGAAAGAAGAUGCAAAAAUGUUGAUUAAAUUAUCUAGGGUAUUUAACCAACCAUUGGCUGAUAUAUAUUUCAAACAAGCCUGCCUUAAUCACAAAAUGUUUAUGCUUUUAGUUAUAUAUAACGUAUCUCACCAAUCACUGAAGGGGACAAUUCAUCCAUGUAAGAAAUUAACUCAACCCAGGUGAGAGGGCUCAUUCCUGUAAUCUCAGCUACUCAGGAGCCUGAAGCAGGAGGAUAAUUUCAGGGAAGGAAUUGAGACCAGCGUGGGUAACAUAGCAAGAUAUAAAAAAACAAAACAUCCCAGCACUUUGGGAGGCCGAGGCGGGCGGAUCACGAGGUCAGGAGAUCAAGACCAUCCUGGCUAACAGUGAAACCCAGUCUCUACUAAAAAUACAACAAAUUAGCCGGGCGUGGUGGCGGGCGCCUGUAGUCCCAGCUACUCGGGAGGCUGAGGUAGGAGAAUGGCGUGAACCUGGGAGGCAGAGCUUGCAGUGAGCCGAGAUCAUGCCACUGCACUCCAGCCUGGGCGACACAGCAAGACUCCGUCUCAAAAAAAAAAAAAAAAAAAAAAACACAUUUUUUAAAUGUUAACUAGGUGCGAUGGCAUGUUCCUGCAGUCCCAGCUACUCAGGAGCAUGAGGCAGGAAGCUCCCUUGAGUCCCAAAGUUCAAGGGUGCAGUGAGCUAUGAUUGCACCACUGCAUUCCAGCCUAGGUGACAGAGAAAGAUACCCUCUCAAAAAAAAUUAGUUUAUUGUCAGAUAUACUUUUGCAUAACUGUAUGCAAAUUGUGUAGCUGUAAAAAUAAGGCUAUGAUAUAAUUAUGCCCUGAAACUGUUUUGUUUGUUGCUGUUUUUGGUUUUAUUUUUGCUUGGUAUUGGUGAUGUAUGGAAUAAUGUGUUCACUGGUCUUAGAAGUAUAUACCUUUGCCAGAUGGAGAAGAGUUGAGCAGUGUAUUCUAGGAAUAGGGAACAAUAUGUCUAAAACAUGACAUACUCAAGGAAUUACAACAAAGUUUUGUUUAUAAAGAGGAGAGGAAAAAAAAGAAUGAUACAAGGAAUAUAAAUGGGGUGGGCUCUGUAUGUAUGCAUUUUUAGAAUAUAUAAUGUUUUUCUAUAGAAAAUAAAGAAGCCAAGAUAUGAAUAUAUUAUGUGGGGAGCAUGCAUGUCUGCAAUUUAUUAAUAUUUAUUUUUAAUAAGCAUUUAUUUGAAUGUGUAUUGUGUGUGUAUUAUAAUGAUUUACAUUGAUUUACAAAGAUGCCAGCCUCCAUUUGACAGUAGAUCUCAAGGGACCCAAUUUAAGCUCCAGUCCCUCUUGUAGUUGGGGAACCACCUUUAUUUUUCAGGGGCCUGCUGGGUCUCCUUCCCACAGCAGAUCAUUUCCACACAGCCACAGUACCAUUCUUGGGUUUUCUCCAAGUCCAUCUCGGCCAAAAAGCCGGGUCAAUCAUGAAGUAAGUCUUCAUGAUACAGUAAUCUUGGCUUAGAGCAUUCUUUAGUGCUGAGAUGGCUACAGUGGUUAGAGGAUCAGGAAGUGAAACAGUUAGUCUACUUAGAAUUCCUAGUAAACCUUCUGAAGAACAGGUACAAAAAAAAAAAAAAAAAAAAAACCCAUACUGAAAGGUAAGAUUAAGAUGGCAGAUAGGGCCGGCCGCGGUGGCUCACGCCUGUAAUCCCAGCAUUUUGGGAGGCCGAGGCGGGCGGAUCACGAGGUCAGGAGAUCGAGACCAUCCUGACAAACAUGGGAAACCCCGUCUCUACUAAAAAUAGAAAAAAAUAGCCAGGCGCGGUGGCGGGCACCUGUAGUCUCAGCUACUCGGGAGGCUGAGGCAGGAGAAUGGCCUGAACCUGGGAGGCGGAGCUUUCAGUGAGCCGAGAUCCUGCCACUGCACUCCAGCCUGGGUGACAGAGCCAGAUUCCGUCAAAAAAAGCAAAAAAGAAAAAAAAAGAAGAAGGCAGAUAGGAGGCAAGACUAGCUUGCAGCUCCCACUCAGACAGAGCAGGGUGGAGAGUAACACUGAACUUUAGCUCCCAAAACUACCACAGGAACAUACCAGGAAAGCUGAAAGAAUCCACAGACCCUUUGAAGGAACGGGAUCUCCGCUGCAGGUUCCCUGAAAUGCUGAAAUACUGUGACUCCGCUUGCUUUCUCAGCGGAGAGGCUGGUGGUCUGGGGCAAUUUCUCAGCCCUGGCCACCAGCUGCCUGGAAAUAGACUUGGUGCUGUUCGGAGGUAACAGCCGGAAUGAGAUUGGCCUUAAAGACUGCCGGCUGUGUGGGAGUAGGGGUUGAGGCCUGUGACUGAGGGCUUUCCCCCACUUCCCUGGUGACAUUGACUCAGCCAUAAUCCUCCUGGGAACAUAACUCCAUUGGUCUAGAAACCAUACCUCCAUCCUCUACAGCAACUGCCGCCAUCCCCACCCAAGGGAAGUGUGAGCUCAGACACUUCUAUCCCUGCCCCCACCUGGUGGUCUUUCUCUACCCACCCUGGUUGCAAAGACAAAGAGCAGAAUCUCUUGGAGGCUAUAUGGCCCUUCCCACCGCCUGAGGCCUCUGAAUACUUAACCAGGCAAUCAUAGGGCAAGUGUGCAUCCUUCCUAUGGAACCACAGCUGAUGUACUCUUGAAAGUGCCACUUCCUAGCUGGAGACCAACCAACACAAAACAAAUGCACCAAACAAAAGUACAACCCAGGACCCUCAUAGAGUCCACUUCACUACCCUGCUACCUUCACUGGAGUAGAUGCUGGUACCCAUGGCUGAAAUACAUGAAGAUGGAUCACAUCACAGGACGCUUUGCAGACACUCCCCAGUACCAGCCCAGAGCCUGGUAGCUCCUCUGGGUGGCUGGACCUAAACGAGCAAAAACAAUCAUUGCAGUUCAGCUUUCAGGAAGCCCCAUCCCUAGGGGAAGGGGGAGGACAUCACAUCAAGGGAGCACCCUGUGGGAGAAAAGAAUCUGAGCAGCAUCCAUUGAGUCCCAGAUCUUCUCUCUGACAUAAUCCACCCAAAUGAGACGGAAUCAGAUAAAGAAUUCUGGUAAUGUGACAAAACAAGGUUCUUUAACAUCUUCAAAAAAUCACACCAGCUCACUAGAAAAUGGAUCCAAACCAAGAUGAACUCUUCAAAUUGCCAGAGCAAGAAUUCAGAAGGUUAUUAAGCUAAUCAAGAAGACACCAGAGAAAGGUGAAGUCCAACUUAAAGAAAUCAAAAACAUGAUACAAGUCAUGAGAGGAAAGGUCUUCAGUGAAAUAGACAGCAUAAAAAACAAUCACAACUUCUGGAAAUCAAGAACACACUUAUAGAAACGCAAAAUGCAGGCUGAGUGCAGUGGCUCACGCCUGUAAUUCCAGCAUUUUGGGAGGCCAAGGCAGGCAGAUCAGAAGGUCAGGAGUUCAAGACCAGCCUGCCCAGCAUGGUGAAAUCCCAUCUGUACUAAAAAUACAAAAAUUAGCCAGGUGCGGUGGUGGGCACCUGUAAUCCCAGCUACUCAGGAGGCUGAGGCAGGAGAAUUGCUUGAAACCGGAAGGCGGAGGUUGCAGUGAGCUGAGAUCAUGCCACUGCACUCCAGCCUGGGCAACAAGAGUGAAACUCCAUCUAAAAAAAAAAAAAAAAAUUCCAAAAUGCUCUGGAAAGUAACAGAAAUGGAAUCAACCAAGCAGAAGAAAGAACUUCAGAGCUCAAAGACAAAUCUUUUCAAUUGAUCCAAUCCAUAAAAGACAAAAUAAAAUAAAUAUAUAAAUAAAUAAACAAAGCCUCCAAGAAUUUUGGGACUAUGUUAAACAUCCAAACCUAGGAAUAAUUGGUGUUCCUGAGGAAGAAGAUACAUUGAAAAGUUUGGAAAACAUAUUUGAGAGAAUAAUGGAAGAAAACUUCCCUAGCCUUACUAGAGAUCUAAUCAUCCAAAUACAGGAGGCUUAAAGAAUACCUGGGAAAUUGUUGCAAAAAGGU